UUGUGCACGCAAGGUGCUCGCUGAAUUGCUUGUAAAGCUUCUCCUUUUUGUGAGAUGUCGAGACUUGUUCGUCGCUUGUUCUUUGAACUAAUCAACUUUCUCUUUUUACAGGUCCUUCGGGACCUGUGAGAGGUUGCAAGUGUGCUGAUCUUUGCGGACGCAAAUCGCAAGGGCGAAGCGCGACUUAGGCAACACAAGUUAAGUUCGCGUCUUUGUCGCAAGGGUGCCUCGCGACUUAGGCAACGCAGGCUAAGUUCGUGUCUUUACUGAAAGAGUAUCUCACGCCUUAGGCAAUUUCAGCUAGUAUCAGAGUAGGCAAGCACUUCGAGCGAGCAACGAAGGAACUUCACAACUUCGCCAUGGCAAAGCAUCGUGGUGAAUCAAGCAAGACGGGGCAAGCCGGACCCUUGCCCCAAGCAGUCGCAGGUGGGCUGCAAGUGCAUAUUUGUUCGCAUGUUGUUGGAGCCGCUCAGGAGGAGCACGGCAGCGAACAUGAUGAGCAAGAAGUUGGUUACUCUCCGCGAGCGGAGGAGGCGUAAUCUAGAGCGCCAAUCGGGAAAAAGAGUCAUAAGGAGAGACUCACAACGGCGAAAACCCACUUGGAUGUUCUCGAAGCGAGCUUGGAGGAACUCUACCAUGGCCAACGAAGGCUUGUUAGGGUAGAGAGCUCGCAAGAAGCAGAGUCCAGGAUCGACAAGGUUGAGGCCCUAGUCGACCGAUUAUCAGAUGACACCAAAGACUCCAUGCAACACCUGUAGGAAGUUGUGGCGGAACUCACUUCGAGGGUGUCCAUGUUCACAAGGGCAUUAAAUGCGGGAGGAAGCAACAGUCGUGUUGCGCCGCCACAAAAUUUGAGGGCACCCAAGCCUUAUGGUUAUGGAGGGGCCAAAGAUGCAAAAGAGCUCGAGAAUUUCUUGUUCGAUAUGGAACAAUACUUCCGAGCUACGAGGCCUAAUUCUGAAGAAACCAAAGUUUCUAUAGUGACCAUGUAUCUGAACGGAGAUGCAAAACUUUGGUGGCGAACCCGUUUGGAGGAGGCCCAACAAGGUCGGUAUCGAGUUGACACAUGGGAGGACUUGAAGCGAGAGUUGAGAACUCAGUUCCUACCGGAGAACACUGAGUUCGUCGCAAGAAGGAAAUUGAGACAACUCCGCCAAAAUGCUUCCAUCCGAGACUACGUGAAGUAAUUUUCUGCGUUAAUGCUGGACAUCCAGGACAUGUUCGAGAAGGAUAAGCUAUUCAGCUUCUUCGAUGGUUUGAAGCUAUGGGCGCUACAAGAACUACAUUGAAGGAAUGUCGUCGAUUUGAUCGAGGCAAUUGAUGCCGCAGAAAGGCUCACCGACUUCGUUUCCACUGAAGAUCCGGGAAGAAAGAAGCAAUCUUUAAGCAAUUGCCCUCCAAAAUAUUCUCGAGGAAAGGAGCUCGGGGGCGCACAAAAGAAGAGGAGUUCCCACAAAAGGGCCAAGCCUGAAAGGCAAGGCCCUAAAACCUGGCGAAUGCUUCUUGUGAGGAGGGCCGCACAUGGUGAGGGAGUGCCCACAAAAACAGGCACUCAAUAUUUUAAUAACUUCCAUCCAUCCCCCCAAAUCAGACAAGGGCAAGGCUAUUUCUCUUAGUUCGAGUAAUUUUGAAUCCAAUAGGGACGACGAGGAGUCACAAGGACCUCGAAUGGGAGCAAUGCGUUUGUUGAACGUCAUGUGGGGUCAAGUGGGGGAGAACAUGAAGACAAAGCUACAAAAAACAGGAAGUGGUGAGCUGAUGUAUGUAGACAUAAACCUAAAUGGCCAAACGACCGUGCAAUGGUGGACACGGGCGCUACCCACAACUUUAUUGUCGAUCGAGAGGCAAAGCGACUUGGGCUGAUCUUGGAGAAGAUCCCAAGUCGAAUGAAGGCGAUGAACUCGGAGGCUAAGCGAAUCUCCGGGUUAGCAAAGGGAGUCCCCAUCAAGAUUGAAACAUAGAGCGGGAGCACGAACAUGAUGGUGGUGACAUUGGACGACUUCCAAGUGAUCCUUGGAAUGAAGUUUAUGAACGUGGCGAAGUUGGUGCCAAUACCGUUCCUAAACACCUUAUGCAUGAUGGGGGGUGACGACCCCUGUGUGGGUCCUGUUUCUCGGAGAGGAACCAAAGACCCCCAACAGAUAUCGACAUUACAACUGAAGAAGGGUACGAAAAGGCGAACUAACAUUCGUGGCUGCUAUGAAGCUAGAGCCACUCGACGAGAAGGCCAUUCAUGAACCUGCUGUGGUGGCAAACGUCCUAAAAGAGUUCACUGAUGUUAUGCCACCUGAGUUGCCAAAGACUCUUCUGCCACACAGAGGCGUGGACCACAACAUUGAGCUGGAGCCAAGAAUAAAGCCUCCAGCGAGACUACCCUACCACAUGCCCUCGCCAUAGUUAGCAGAACUCAGAAAGCAGUUAGGUGAACUGCUAACCGGUGGUCUCAUCCGCAACUCUAAAGUACCAUUCGGAACUCUCGUUCUCUUCCAGAAGAAACAAGAUGGGAGCCUCCGAUUAUGCAUCGAUUACCGAGUCCUCAACAAAGUGACGGUGAAGAACAAGUAUCCCAUCCCGCUCAUCGCGGACUUGUUCGACCAGUUGGGCAAAGUCAAGUAUUUCUCAAAACUCGAUCUUUGGUCGGGGUAUUGGCAGGUGCGCAUUACUGAAGGCAACGAAGCGAAGACUACCUGUGUGACCAGGUAUGGAGCGUUUGAGUUCUUGGUGAUGCCUUUUGGCUUAACCAACGCUCCGGCCAUGUUCUGCACUCUCAUGAACCAAUUAUUCAAAAAGUAUUUGGAUAAGUUCGUGGUCGUCUACUUGAACGAUAUCGUCGUCUACAGUCAAAUGCUCGAGGAGCAUGUCAAGCACCUUCGGAUAAUUUUCAAGGUUUUCAAGGAGAACACUUUGUUCGUGAAAAGGGAGAAAUGCUACUUUGCUCAAACAAAGAUCAUAUUCUUGGGGCAUCGAAUCGGUAAUGGCUCCAUUUGGAUGGAUAAGUCGAAGGUGCAAGCAGUUGCGGAAUGGCGAACUCCAAAGAAGGUGCCAGAGUUGAGAUCCUUCCUUGGUUUUGUCAACUACUAUCGACGCUUCAUAGUGGGGUAUUCGAAGCAUGUAACUCCACUUAUGGAGUUGUUGAAGGAGCAGUCUUGGAGGUGGUCUGAUAAAUGUGAAAUUACAUUCCAAGAUCUGAAGGCUGCCGUUUUGGAAGAACCGGUGCUCAAAUUGUCGGACUAUGGGGAGCCAUUUGAAGUCCAUACAGAUGCUUCAGACUUCGCUAUUGGGGGAGCAGUCUUAGAGGUGAUAUGAUAAAUGUGAAAUUACAUUCCAAGAUCUGAAGGCUAUCGUUUUGAAAGAACCGGUGCUCAAAUUGUCGGACUAUGGGGAGCCCUUUGAAGUUCAUACAGAUGCUUCAGACUUCGCUAUUGGGGGAGUACUCAUGCAGGAGGGCCAUCCGGUGGCCUACGAGAGUCGCAAGCUCAACGAGACUGAGCGACGGUAUCCAAUACAUGAGAAGGAGAUGAUAGCGGUGAUCCACUGUCUACGAGUUUGGUGACACUACCUCCUCGGUUCGCGAUUUGUGCUGAGGACAAACAACAUCGCUUUGAGCUAUUUUCAAGCUCGGAAGAAACUUUUCCCAAAGCAAGCACGAUGGCAGGACUUCCUAGCUGAAUUUGAUAUGACAAUGGAGUACAAGCCUGGAAAGGCAAAUGUCGUGGCCGAUGCAUUGAGUCGAAAAGUGGAGCAUGUGAAUGCCGUACAAUUGGAGCGCAGAGGCCAAACAAGUCAGUCGCACUCCAACUUCCUUUCUAGGAUCAGGGAUGGAUUGUAUAAGUGAUCCCCAAGCAGUUAUCCUGAUGCAGCUCAUCCAAGAAGGCAAGGCACGACGAUUUUGGAUCCAGGAGGGACUCGUUUGCAUAAAAGGAAAUAUGGUUUAUGUUUCUCGAGUGGACAAUUUGAGGCGUGAACUCUUAAGAGAGUGUCAUGAUUCCCUUUGGGCUGGACACCUAGGCAUUCACAAAACGUUGGCUCUCGUGGAGAGGGCCUUCUAUUGGUCGAAGAUGGGGACUGAUGUGGAGGAAUAUGUUCGAACAUGCCUUAUUUGCCAACAAGACAAGGCGGAGUAGCGGAAGCCGGUGGGACUAUUGGAGCCAUUGCCCGUACCAGAAAGGUCGUGGGAGAGCAUUUCAUUGGACCUCAUAUCAAGGUUACCACUAGUAGGGAGACUCGGAUUGAUACUCGUGGUAGUCGAUCGAUUUUCAAAGUAUGUAACUUUCAUUGCUGCUCCCCUACACUGUUCAGCAGAGAAAGCGGCCAAGUUGAUGAUGAAGGAUGUGAUGAAGUAUCAGGGAGUCCUGCACAAUAUCAUCAGUGAUCGAGACGCUUGGUUCUUGGGAUGAUUCUGGACCGAGAUAUUCAAAUUAUUGGGGUCCAAGUUAUACUUCUCCACAAGCCUUCACCCCUAGACGAAUGGCCAAACCGAGAGGAUAAACUCACUCCUAGAGCAAUAUCUUCGGCACUACGUGAGUGCUAACCAACGAGAUUAGGUGAAGUUGUUGGAUAUUGCCUAAUUCUCCUACAACUUGCAACGGAGCUCUGCGUCAAACAAGAGCCCCUUCGAGAUCAUUAUAGGAUAACAAUCGUCAACUUCUCACACCAUGGCAAUCGGGUAUAUUGGGAGUAGUCCGUCAGUCUACCACUUCGCAAAGGAGUGGCACCGAAAUGCAGAUAUUGUGCGGGCUUACUUGGAGAAGGCGACAAAAAGGAUAAAGAAGUGGGCAGACUUGGGAAGGCGACCGCAAAAGUUCAAGAUCGGCGAUUUGGUGCUAGUAAAGCUCCAACCAGCAGCACUCUAAUUCUUUAGGAACAAAGUACACAAAGGAUUGGUGCGCAAGUAUGAAGGGUCCUUCCCAAUUAUUAGUAGGGUGGGCAACGUCUCCUACAAGUUGCAACUGCCGGCGUGGUUCAAAAUUCAUAAUGUUCUUCACACCAGCAAUCUAAAAGCCUACCACUCGGAUCCGCAAGAUGCUUCCCGAAGCGUUCCAACUCGAUUACCCCCCACCAAAGUCUCCUACGAGAAGCGAGUUGAAACUAUUUUAGCAUAUCACAAGAUAAAGCUACCCAAUGGAACUGAGCAGACCAAGUACUUGGUGAAGUGGUGAAAGCUUCCUCGAAUUGAAGCCAGUUGGGAGCCCGAAGAUGCCCUGCGACAUGAAGAAACAAUUAUCAACAACUACCAACAAGCGUCGACGAGGGCGUCAACAGGUUGAGUGGGGAAGAAUGUCACGAACGGUCAUCGCGCACCCGCAACAACUCCGUUCAACGAACCUUUCGUCGCUCAAAUCUACAUGUACAGUUGCUUGGCAGCAUGUUUUGGUUUGGUUUUAGGUCCUUUUGCUUGUUAAAAUGUAAGUUCGAACAAGUUGCAGUGCUACAGUGCUAUUGCUCGUCGAACCGAGCAAAACAGCCCCAAAACAACUUCGUUUUCACGUGCCACAGGCUGAUUUCUGCAGCCCGCUACUGCACGCGAAACGUCAGCCAUCUCAGCACCCUGGAACCACCCGGGUGGCACAGGGCUGGAUGGGGCUUCGGUAUAGUGUCGGGCGUUGAACACUCUUUUGCAAGUUCGCACAUUACCUUGACGGGAACUUGUUGUCGCGCCCGACACCUGGUGAGCAGCUGCUUGUGGACUUGCAGCUGUUCAUUCAACCUUCUAAAGUCCUUGUUUUCCCCCUCUCUCUCUUUUCUCUUGUGCACGCAAGGUGCUCGCUGAAUUGCUUGUAAAGCUUCCUCUUUUCGCGAGACGUCAGGACUUGUCCCUCGCUUGUUCUUCGAACUAAUCAACUUUCUCUUUUUACAGGUCCUUCGGGACCUGCGAGAGGUUGCAAGUGGGCUGAUCUUUGCAUAUGCAAAUCGCAAGGGUGAAGCGCGACUUAGGCAACGCAAGCUAAGUUCGCAUCUUUGUCGCAAGGGUGCCUCACACCUUAGGCAAUUCCAACUAAGGCCAUGACAAGAGGGAGAUUAAAGUAUCACCGAUAGUGGAAAGUGAGGAAAGAGAAAGCAACGAUGUUGAAGGAAGCUAUAGACGACAAUAGCAACAGCAAAGGAUUCAACUUAAGACAAUCGCGACUGCGGAGGAAUCUAUGAACUACAGCAAAGGUAGUGGCAGAAAUUUCAGAGGGCGUCCGUCAGUGACGAAGGAAUCUAUGAUCCUCUCCCUCAAUGGUGAAAGGAACUGCACACAGAGCAAUGGCAGAAGGACGCUAUGGGUUUUUGCUAGGCCAUCAAACUAGUCCACCUACGACAAAGGAAGGCUUGGUCCACUGCAUCUGCGACGGCGGCAGUAGGAGAAAGCGUUGACGAUGAAGGCAGCGGCAGAAAACAUCGACAGCGGAGGUAGAAGCAGCACCAGGGUUGGCUCGAGGUCAUGCGGGCGUGCAAGGGUGGCUUUUGUGAGUAAGAAACUGUUUAGUAGGUUUAAUCGAACCAACUAACCACUGGUUGCUCGCCCGAGGCGCGUAGCGCGUGGGUUUAUGUUAGUGCCCAAGCGACGCCUCAUUGAAGAGCGUCGCCUGGUCCACCCAUGAGGCACUCAAGCCUUGUCUCGCCUCGCCCAAGCGCUUGGCGAGCAUUUGAACGUCUAUUUAAAUCACUAAUUUGUAUCACUUACCAUAUUACCAAAGAAAGAAAAAAAGUUAAAUUUAGAAUGUUAUUGGGAAGUUUUGAUUAAUGAUGCUUUAUACUGGUGAAAAUAAAUGCUAGUGAAAGAUCUUUGUAAAUAGGAAAAUCUUU
rnacentral:lncRNA from 1 species